GGGCCGCACGCGCGCUACACUGACGGAGCCAGCGAGUAAUACAUCCUUGGCCGAGAGGUCUGGGUAAUCUUGUGAAACUCCGUCGUGCUGGGGAUCGGCCAUUGCAAUUCUUGGCCGUCAACGAGGAAUUCCUAGUAAGCGCAAGUCAUCAGCUUGCGUUGAUUACGUCCC
rnacentral:rRNA from 1 species